AGGUUGUGGCUCAGUGGUAGAGUACUUGCCUCAUACGUGUGAGGCAUUGGGUUCAAUUCUCAGCAUCACUUA
rnacentral:tRNA from 1 species